UGCGCAGGCGGUUGUGCAAGACCGAUGUGAAAUCCCCGAGCCUAACUUGGGAAUUGCAUUGGUGACUGCACGGCUAGAGUGUGUCAGAGGGGGGUAGAAUUCCACGUGUAGCAGUGAAAUGCGUAGAGAUGUGGAGGAAUACCGAUGGCGAAGGCAGCCCCCUGGGAUAACACUGACGCUCAUGCACGAAAGCGUAGGGAGCAAACAGGAUUAGAUACCCUGGUAGUCCACGCCCUAAACGAUGUCAACUAGUUGUUGGGGAUUCAUUUCCUUAGUAACGUAGCUAACGCGUGAAGUUGACCGCCUGGGGAGUACGGUCGCAAGAUUAAAACUCAAAGGAAUUGACGGGGACCCGCACAAGCGGUGGAUGAUGUGGAUUAAUUCGAUGCAACGCGAAAAACCUUACCUACCCUUGACAUGCCACUAACGAAGCAGAGAUGCAUUAGGUGCUCGAAAGAGAAAGUGGACACAGGUGCUGCAUGGCUGUCGUCAGCUCGUGUCGUGAGAUGUUGGGUUAAGUCCCGCAACGAGCGCAACCCUUGUCUCUAGUUGCUACGAAAGGGCACUCUAGAGAGACUGCCGGUGACAAACCGGAGGAAGGUGGGGAUGACGUCAAGUCCUCAUGGCCCUUAUGGGUAGGGCUUCACACGUCAUACAAUGGUGCAUACAGAGGGUUGCCAAGCCGCGAGGUGGAGCUAAUCCCAGAAAAUGCAUCGUAGUCCGGAUCGUAGUCUGCAACUCGACUACGUGAAGCUGGAAUCGCUAGUAAUCGCGGAUCAGCAUGCCGCGGUGA
rnacentral:rRNA from 1 species